rnacentral:rRNA from 1 species
AGUGAACGCUGGCGGUAGGCCUAGCACAUGCAAGUCGAACGGCAGCACAGUAAGAGCUUGCUCUUACGGGUGGCGAGUGGCGGACGGGUGAGGAAUACAUCGGAAUCUACUUUUUCGUGGGGGAUAACGUGGGGAAACUUACGCUAAUACCGCAUACGACCUACGGGUGAAAGCAGGGGAUCUUCGGACCUUGCGCGAUUGAAUGAGCCGAUGUCGGAUUAGCUAGUUGGCGGGGUAAAGGCCCACCAAGGCGACGAUCCGUAGCUGGUCUGAGAGGAUGGUAAGCAAAAGUGGAAAUGAGACACGGACAAGACUCCUACGGGAGGCAGCAGGGGGGAAUGUUGGACAAUGGGGGAAAGCUUGACCCAGCCUUAGCGGGGGGGGGAAGAAGGCCUUCGGGUUGUAAAGCCUUUUUGUUGGGAAAAAAAAGCAGUAGGUUAAUACCCCGCUGUUCUGACGGUACCCAAAGAAUAAGCACCGGCUAACUUCGU